AGAGUUUGAUCCUGGCUCAGGACGAACGCUGGCGGCGUGCCUAAUACAUGCAAGUCGAGCGGACCAGAACGAAGGGCAACCGGAGUUCUGGUUUAGCGGCGCACGGGUGAGUAACGCGUAGGUAAUCUACUCCGAAGACCGGGAUAACACCUCGAAAGGGGUGCUAAUACUGGAUACGCUCUUUCUUUCGACGGAGGGGAAGAGGAAAGGUGGCGUAAGGCGCAAGCCUGCUACCACUUCGGAAUGAGCCUGCGUCCUAUUAGCUAGUUGGUAGGGUAAUGGCCUACCAAGGCUAUGAUGGGUAGCUGGUCUGAGAGGACGGUCAGCCACACUGGGACUGAGACACGGCCCAGACUCCUACGGGAGGCAGCAGUAGGGAAUAUUGGGCAAUGGGCGAAAGCCUGACCCAGCGACGCCGCGUGGGCGAUGAAGGUCUUUGGAUUGUAAAGCCCUUUUCAGGGAGACGAAGGGAUCGUCGGGAAAUACCUGAUGAUCUUUGACGGUAUCCCUGGAAUAAGCCCCGGCUAACUACGUGCCAGCAGCCGCGGUAAUACGUAGGGGGCGAGCGUUGUCCGGAAUUACUGGGUGUAAAGGGCGUGUAGGCGACCCCUUAAGUUGAAUGUGAAAUCUCCCGGCUCAACUGGGAGGAGUCAUUCAAUACUGAGGGGAUGUGAGGACAGAAGAGGGAAGCGGAAUUCCCGGUGUAGCGGUAAAAUGCGUAGAUAUCGGGAGGAACACCAGUGGCGAAGGCGGCUUCCUGGUCUGUCCCUGACGCUGAUGCGCGAAAGCCAGGGGAGCAAACGGGAUUAGAUACCCCGGUAGUCCUGGCCCUAAACGUUGGGUACUAGGUGUAGGAAAGGUUCAAUCUUUUCUGUGCCGUAGCUAACGCGUUAAGUACCCCACCUGGGGAGUACGGCCGCAAGACUGAAACUCAAAGGAAUUGACGGGGCCCCGCACAAGCAGCGGAGCGUGUGGUUUAAUUCGACGCUACACGAAGAACCUUACCGGGGCUUGACAUGCACGUGACCGCACCAGAGAUGGUGCCUUCCUUGAAUUUUAUUCAAGGACACGUGCACAGGUGCUGCAUGGCUGUCGUCAGCUCGUGUCGUGAGAUGUUGGGUUAAGUCCCGCAACGAGCGCAACCCUCGUUCUUAGUUGCUAACGUUGCCGAAAGGCUGCGUGCACUCUAAGGAGACCGCCGGCGAUAAGCUGGAGGAAGGUGGGGAUGACGUCAAGUCCUCAUGGCCCUUAUGUCCCGGGCUACACACACGCUACAAUGGCCUGAACAAAGGGUUGCAGGACCGCGAGGUGGAGCUAAUCCCAAAAAUCAGGCCUCAGUUCAGAUUGCAGGCUGCAACUCGCCUGCAUGAAGACGGAGUUGCUAGUAACCGCAGGUCAGCUAUACUGCGGUGAAUACGUUCUCGGGGCUUGUACACACCGCCCGUCAAACCACCCGAGUCUAGUGCACCCGAAGUCACCUCACCCAACCCGAAAGGGAGGAAGGUGCCGAAGGUGUGCUCGGUGAGGGGGGUUAAGUCGUAACAAGGUAACC
rnacentral:rRNA from 1 species